rnacentral:rRNA from 1 species
UACAGAGGUCUCAACCGUUGUUCGGAUUCAUUGGGCGUAAAGGGUGCGUAGGCGGCGGGGUAAGUCAGGUGUGAAAUCUCGGGGCUCAACCCCGAAACUGCACUUGAUACUGCCUCGCUUGAGUACUGGAGAGGAGACUGGAAUUUACGGUGUAGCAGUGAAAUGCGUAGAUAUCGUAAGGAAGACCAGUGGCGAAGGCGGCUCACUGGCCCGAUACUGACGCUGAGGUGCGAAAGCGUGGGGAGCAAACAGG